GUGGGGAAUAUUGGACAAUGGGCGAAAGCCUGAUCCAGCCAUGCCGCGUGUGUGAAGAAGGUCUUCGGAUUGUAAAGCACUUUAAGUUGGGAGGAAGGGCAGUAAGUUAAUACCUUGCUGUUUUGACGUUACCGACAGAAUAAGCACCGGCUAACUUCGUGCCAGCAGCCGCGGUAAUACGAAGGGUGCAAGCGUUAAUCGGAAUUACUGGGCGUAAAGUGCGCGUAGGUGGUUUUGUAAGUUGGAGGUGAAAUCCCCGGGCUCAACCUGGGAACUGCCUCCAAAACUGCAUGACUAGAGUACGGUAGAGGGUAGUGGAAUUUCCUGUGUAGCGGUGAAAUGCGUAGAUAUAGGAAGGAACACCAGUGGCGAAGGCGACUACCUGGACUGAUACUGACACUGAGGUGCGAAAGCGUGGGGAGCAAACAGGAUUAGAUACCCGGGUAGUCC
rnacentral:rRNA from 1 species